UCUUCCUCUCUUCACUUUUCCUCUUCUAUUUUGUCAUAAAGGUAUGUUUUUCUAAAAAUCGUGGACGGGGUACACAAUUUUGUUGUUAAAAUUAUUUUAUUUUAUUAUUAUGUUGAUAAAAUAAUUUAUUUUUUGUUGUAAGCUUCUCCUAUCCUCCAUUGUCUCCUAUCCUCCAUUGUCUCAUUCAUCUUCACAAGGUUAUUUGCAUAAUGGAACCUGGGCCGAGUGAUCCUACACAGCUAUAUCUACAACCAUCCCAUCGUUCACAGUCUAUAUGGGAGGCCUCCUCCAAAGUUGUUUUGAGUUGUCGACGAAGAGAGGCAGCAUCUCAGCGUACGAUCCCAUUUGAUUAGCGUAUUGUACCAUAUUUAGAGGCUGCUGGAUUUCUAGGGGCUUCCCAAAUAGGAUUUAUGCAGUUGGACUGGCAUUUGAUUACUGCUCUGGUCGAGCGUUGGAGACCAGAGACCCACACAUUUCAUAUGCCUUGUGGGGAAUGCACGAUCACCCUAUAGGAUGUUGCAGUUCAGUUAGGGUUACCUGUGGAUGGUGAGCCUGUGGUAGGGUCGUUAUUAUAUGACUGGAAGGUACUCUGUGAGGAUUACUUGGGAGUUCGUCCACCUGAAAUGAAAGGUAAACGAUUGAGCCUUCCUUGGUUGGCAGAACAGUUCACAUAAUUGCCACCGGAUGCUGAUGUAGUGAGCGUUCAAAGAUACGCUCGUGCAUACAUUAUGCAGUUAAUUGGAGGCUUUCUAUUUGCAGACAAAUCAAACACCCUGGUCCACUGUAUGUUCCUCUCACUUUUAAUUAAUUUUGACCAGGCUGGUACGUAUGCUUGGGGAACUGCAUGCCUCGCAUGGUUGUAUUGGGAAUUGUGUCGAGCGAGUAAUGCACGAUCUUUAGAGAUUGCUGGCCUAUUAAUAUUGUUGCAAGUAUGGGCGUAUGACAGAUUUCCUAUUCUGGCACCACAAGUACCAGUUGAGGUAUCAGUUGGUCGACCUUUGAGUUUCAGAUGGAGCGGCGUUAUACCAUUGUCAGAACUGUCCGCAAAUAUGUUGAUCACCUACCGAAUGUUUUUUGAUCGGCUGAUCAACUCUCAGAUAGUAAAAUAUUAUACUAAUAUUGCGUAGGCAUGUUUUUUGUUGUUUCCUUAUGUUCGUUUUUUUUAACAGAUUAAUUGGACACCAUACACGUCCCACAUUAUGGCAUUGCUUCCACAUCAAUGUCAUAACGGUCAAGCGAUGUGGACAUAUGUGGGUCCUGUGAUUUGCUUUCAUCUCGUUGAGAAGCAUCAAACAGAUCGUGUAUUGCGACAGUUCCAUAUGCUACAAAUGCCACCAGAGUUUUGCUCCACAGAUCAGGGCCUACACCAAAUUGAUUUAAGAGGCAAGCACGAUCAAGAUUGGAGUAGGAUUCAUGCAGAACAUAUAGCAAUGUGGCAUUCACGAAAUAAUUUUUGUGCCGAAGCAGAAGCAACACAGAAGCCGACAGUAUCAGAUAACUAUUUUUUCUGGUACACGUCGAUUACCCGACGCUUCAUGACACCUGAUGGCGCUUACUGUUAUCGCAUGAAUAAUUUUGUUGAAGACGUACGUCGAGUCUCCAUGGAAAACAAUUUUGAAAUUUUUAGUCCAAUGUGUGACGAAGUCAUGGGAGAUAUAGACAGCCUUGUUCAGCGGACUCGACGUUUAAAUGUUGCCGACACAGAUCGUAGACGCAUUCGACGGCGAUGACGACGACAAGGCGAUGAUGUCGUAGAGGGAGAUGGGGAAGCUUCUUAAGUUGUAUAAUUUAAGUGUUUUUAAAUUUUGCUAGAACUUAUUCAAGUUGUAUAAAUAAAAAGUUGAACUUUUUUAAAUUAAUUAUAAAUUAGAAGUUGCUAAUACAUGAUUUAGAUGUAGGAGUAUUCUUAAUAAUAUCAAUAUAUAAUAUAUAUUUUUUAAAAGUA